UAAAAACAAAAAAUCUUUCAAUUACUUCUCUAGCCAUUUUUUUUUUUUUUUUGGUAUACACUUCUCUAGCCAUUUCAAAUAACAUACCGGAAGCACUUGCUCUUUAAACCUUUCAAAGUAGAAUGGCCACCAAUAUCAAGAGUCUCUAUGUUAUCUUUGCAAUUAUAUCCAUUGCAUCCAUUGUAAUAGCUUCAGGAACUAGUAUGACUAAAAAAAUUGUUUGUGCUCCUAAUGAUUAUGGAUGUUGCAUCACAUGUGCAAUCUAUGGAUUACAUGGCAAAUGUUACAAAAAUAAAUGUUGUUGCAGUGUAAGCACGGUCCAAGGGGCAAGCAACCGUGACUUUUGCUUAUGGCCUCCAAAUUUAGCUUUUUGCCGAAAAUAGUUAUUAUUGGGUAUUAAUAUUAGUAUAAAAUUGAUUGUUGUGAGCUUUGAAUUGAAAGUAUAAUUUUUUAUUGUUCCUAUCACUAAGUUUGGGUUUUCUGGUGAAGGCCUUAUUCUCGUUUGUGUUUGUGAAAUUUUGAGAUCUUGUUAUGCCAUUUUCUUCAAUUUUAUUCCCCA